GCAGCUUCGGCGCUUCGGUUACCGUAUCUCUGACUAUGCGGAGCCAAAGGGCAGAACGCGAGGCGGCCAACUCGCUGCUCCGUGGAGCUGACCGUAUUCUGAGACCCAACCAGGGACCGUAAGAGAGUCAAGGAAAACAUUUUCCUCCUCUACACAAGUCAAGAGGAUAUACUAAUAUGGAGAUAUGUUCCAAACAAGCUACAAUUCUCUUGGCAAAACAGCUCCAUCAAGAGUCCCGCCACCUCUCCCUUGGGGGAUUCAGACUCAGACAAGGGAAAAAGAAAAAAGGCUAGACACCUGUCCCCAAUGGAAAAAGGAAGAACACACCUGGAGAGCAGCUCAGGCAAAGGGAGCCAAAGAGGAGAAAAACGGUAAUUGGAGAGGAGACUGCUUGCAAUCUGAUGCUGGUUUAUAAGGUCAAUGGCCAGGACAUCCCGCAGCGCCACGACUCGCCGGAUGGACUUGGGCGGGUUCUCGGUCAGGUAGAUGAGCCGGUCGCUGAGGACCACGUACUUUAAGGUGUGCUUCUCGGAGUCCGACACCACGAUGCACG